UUUGGGGCCAUUUUCAAUAGAGCUCUUUAUUCUCUAUUUACUUCUAAAUCCUCCUUCGUAAGUAUGUUUCAAUACAAAGUUCGUAUGCUCUACAAGAGAAUGUAGCCCAUAAUUACCCUUUCAUGGGCUACACCUCGACCUGACGUUUUGAGUGGUACUGUAUUUUGCCUAGUGUUUAACUUUAAAGGCAGGCUGACGACGGCGGUAUAUAGGCUGAAAGGUACAAGAAAGGGUGAGGUAGAACGGGGGUUAUCGGUUAUAAAACAGGCUCCUCUAGGUGGGUUCAAAGCACCGUCAAGUCCUUUGGGUUUUAAGCUGGCGCUCGUAGUGUCCUGG
rnacentral:rRNA from 1 species